rnacentral:lncRNA from 1 species
ACUGUAUCUUGUUUUUCUUUCCUCAUGGCCUACAUAGUUAUUAAGAGAAAGCACAAGUAAGAGAGCAGCAAGCAGAGGAAGAGGGAGAAGCAGGCUCUCCACUGAGCAGGGAGCCUGAUGGAGGGCUCGAUCUGGGGACCCUGGGGCCAUGACCUGAGCUGAAGGCAGCUGCUUAAUCGACUGAGCCGCCCAGGUACCCAAGAUAUAAAGCUUCUGUACAGGAAAAGAGAGUCAAUAAAACUAAAAGGAACCUAUGGAA